AGAGUUUGAUCCUGGCUCAGGAUGAACGUUGGCGGCGUGCCUAACACAUGCAAGUCGAACGCAAAUAGCAAUAUUUGAGUGGCGCACGGGUGAGUAACACGUAGCUUACCUCCCUCCGAGAGUGGGAUAACGGGCUCGAAAGAGCUGCUAAUACCGCAUAAGCUCACGGUUUCUAGAGGACUGUGAGAAAAGGGGCAACUCGGCUUGGAGACGGGGCUGCGGCCCAUCAGCUAGAUGGUGAGGUAACGGCUUACCAUGGCGACGACGGGUAGGGGACCUGAGAGGGUGACCCCCCACACUGGGACUGAGACACGGCCCAGACUCCUACGGGAGGCAGCAGUGAGGAAUAUUGCACAAUGGGCGCAAGCCUGAUGCAGCGACGCCGCGUGAGUGAAGAAGGCCUUCGGGUCGUAAAGCUCUUUUCUGCGUGACGAGCAAGGACGGUAGCGCAGGAAUAAGUCUCGGCUAACUACGUG
rnacentral:rRNA from 1 species